AGGAUGAAGGUCAUGAGGGGAGUGAGAGACCUGCCUGCUCCGGCCCAAUUGCUCCCAGUGUAAGGCAUUGAGAGGGGCAGCCCCUGGACAAAGCCCUCCCUGUCGCCUAGCUGUGCUGUCAGCCUCCUCCUGUCCCCCAAAAAAUGUGAGCCUAGCUCAGCCCAGCCCAGGCUGUUCUUCCUCCAAGAGCUCAGCAAUGCCAGGGUUAAUCUAAACAUUGAUCACUUUCACAGGCUUAGUUACCUUCCUCUCCAUAUAGGAUAAAUAUAUAAAUCUUACUUUUGAGGAGGGGGAAGUGGGGAGAUAAAAUGGCCAGGGGGUCAUUUGAGCACUGUCUCAUCUCAUGCUCCUCCCUCAGCCAUUUCCAGAAGGUGCCCAAUAUGUAUUUCAGUGUUCCUUCCACUACCCAGAUCAUUGUGUCUAUAACUGCCUGUAGAUCUGAGAGUUUGGUAGGUGUGCCAAAGUUGGUUUGCUACCCAAAGCUGGGAGAAUUGUUUUUAAAUCUAUGAGUCUAUUAAAACAAUACAUUUUUCAUUGCUAUGGUCUUGUCUGGCAUGACUAAGCUUUCCAAACUGCAGUGGGUGCAGGGUGCACUAUGUUGGGAUAGAUGUAAAGUGUUUGUUUGACCUAUUUAGCUCUAAACUGCCCUUUUAAAUGGUUUCGUGACUGUUGUGUUAACAGUAUACCAAAGCUGUCCCAUCAUCGUGGAGACCACACUGCUCAGGGAGAGCCUCCAUAUGCAAGUGGGAAGAAUUGCUGGGUUUGAGACACGGUUCAUAUAAAAAGUGGCUGAUGGGGCCCUGGUGUUGCAUCUGAGUUGGCAAAGGAGUUGCCAUGGCUGAAAAAAACCAGGCUGAUGGGAUUCACGGAAACACAGCUUCAUUCCAAGCCCAUUGAUCAGCCAGGCAGUUCAAGCAGCACUCUACUCUCCAAAGGAAAAUGGUGACAUUACAGCUCUGUACAUCCAAUUCCACAAAUCCCCCUCAGUGUGGCUCCUCUCCUGAGCCAUUCACAGUAAUCCUAAUGCUGUUUCUUACAUUUUUUUCUUUGAUUACUCUUAAUUUCUUAUGCUGAGCGCUGUUGCUAGACAAAAAGAUACAAUAAUCUACAAUAAUGUUCCUGACAGACUUGGGUUGCAAAGUUUUAUGAUAAAAUAAUAUUGCCAGGUGGGCCAAAUCAGAAAUAAUGGGGUAACCAAAGCAAAAUGCUGAUGAAAACGCCUUGUGAGGCUGUUGGACAGCAUGUUCAAACCCAUUCACUUGUGCUGUAACACUGAGCUCCUUCAUUUGCUAUACUAAUAUGUAAUAAGAGUUAAACGUAAGAUACUGUGCAUUCUCCUGUUUUGUUUGUUCAGGGAGUUGAAAUUCUAACCCCUGACAGAACUUGGUGAGUGGAGAGUUCUCUUUCCAAGUUGCUAACAAACCCUAUUUUACUGUAAUCGCUGUAGUACCGCCACAUCCUAUGAAGUACACAGGGAGUGUUAUUUUUCCUUUUGCUGGCAGAAAAGGAGGCUGUGGUGACUGCUCAGCCAGUGAAUGGAGGUGAAUUUUGUUGACACAUGGUCUGUGACUUCAACCGUUUGUGCUCUUGGGCCCUGUGACGGUGCUGAGAGAAAGUUCAAAAGGAAAUAAACUGAGAGGUACACAAACAGCAUUUAUUUUUCAUGAGGGUUUUCCACUCCAGCAGCAAACGCUUCCAGCCAACA